CAGCGAUGCAUCCGAAGGACAGGUUUACGCCAAUACUGUUAGCAUGUUGUUUUACUCUUGCGAGUUGUUCGUCUGUGACAUGUAAAGGAUGCCCUGAAUACCAAGAAAUACAGUGUGAGAGCGUGCGCUCGUCCCAUGGAUACACAUACACGUUGCCACCGGGAAUCUUAUCCUAUGUAUACUGCGAACAAGGAUGGUACUAUCAGAAUGGGACGUUUAUUGUCGACUCAACUCCGAAUGCCGAUGGAAACAGGUUACCGGUUGUAGUGGCUGUUACGCCUCACAAUCUGACAGUCCGUGUCUGCGAGAACCUCCAGUGGGAACUUGACUGUGCCAAGGUAGUAGCAAUGAGUGUCUGUUUCAUUUACACACAAUAGAUAAGACUGUCUGUGU